CUCAACCAACGUUAGAAACGGUGAAGACCUGGAUCAGGUAUAUGAACACGCUAUGGGCAAGGGGAUUGCUUACUGAGCAUGACUAUGAAAGAUUUAGAUCAUUUGUUCAAUUCAUUUCUCCGACACUUGAUCCCAGCAGAAGAAUUCAAACCAGAUGAUAUUAAUGCCAUCGGUAACGAAAAUGACGACGAACGACGAAUAUGAGCAAAAUUCUUACGAAGACAGAACCAGGAUGAAAGUUUCAUCGUCUUUUUUUUCCAUCAAGUUCUAGUACACCAGCUUGUCUGAUCAAAAUAUGUAUGUCGUCUGUAUGUACAAAGUAUACAUGUUCAUGUUUACGGUUUCACAUUUCGGCUUCCUCUCCAAAGCAAUUAAGCCUUUUUCUAUCAAAAUAACAACGAAGUAUUCUUUGGCUAAGGAAAAUCAAGAUGGCCCAUUCUCCCUUCUUUGAGGAAAAGAUUAAGGGAUUUUUAUCAUAGUGGAAAUACAGUGAAUUGUUCGGAAAUUCUUCUUCUCCAGAACAGCUUAUCUACGAAAUCCGAAAACUGUCUGAAUCCUUCUGUAAAUGAUGAAAUUUCAGAUUUCCUUAAACUAUGACCACCGAGGCCACUAUAAGCCCAAGCUCCUUAAACUAUGACCGCCGAGGCCACUAUAAGCCCAAGCUCCUUAAACUAUGACCGCCGAGGCCACUAUGAGCCCAAGCUCAAAGUUUUGCAUAAGGUAUUAUGUCUUUUUAUAAAAAAAAAUCUUUUCAAAAACUUUUGUCGAAUACACGUACAUAUGCAAGUAUCGUCUAGUAAAUUAUGUUCAUAUUGGUACAAACCCCCCAUGCCAAGGUAGGGAUGCAAAAUAUUGAGUUUUUAAUGAGAAAAUCCUUUUCUCGAGACCUACGACGCCAAUUUGACAUAAGUAUUUAACAUUAUUGUCCAGCUCGUGCUGUUUGGUGGCGUUGAUAUGAAAAAAAAGUUCAAUGUAAAAACGAAGAAUCGUACUUUAGAAUAAAAUCAAAUAUCUAAUCCAAAAGUGUACUUCUGACUUAGUUGACCGAUUGUAGUAUAACUUUCAAACGGAAAUAUAAGUAACCAAGUUUUACGGAGGAAUAUACUGGCAAGUAGAAAAAACCAUGAAAAAUGUUUAUUCAAACCCUGUCACUAGAAUUGUCUUCUCACGAACCUGUUGAGUAUAUUUCAUCAAAUUAACAAGGCUAUAAUAAGGGUACAGAACAUGCAAGAAUCAUCCAAUUUUUUCCACCCACCUUUUCCUCCAAGGGGUGAUGCCACUAUUAAUGGCAAUGCAGUUCUGGAAAAAAAUCAGCACCAAAACGACUCCGCGGUGUGGCAAAAUGAUAUUCACGCACCCAGUUGAGACAUGUAGUGUAUACAUAGAGCUGUCUAGUGGGAGGUCUUACCGUUUUGUUUCGAACGUGUGAUUCUCAUUUCUCUGUGAACAAGGUACCUCCAUUUUGGAUAACGCCAUAUUUAAAACAAUGAAACAUUUAAACGGAAUAUAUAACGUUUGGUUUUAUUCAGUUUUAUACUACGGUAUAAGAAGUACAUGGGCCAGAUGCAUAUUUGUGACCAAAGUUUGUGUGAUAUUUUUAUGUGAUGAAGGAAACUGAACUUUUGGUUUGCACGAGACUACAAAAUUGUGUAUUAUUAGUUCUUAGCGUUAUACUUUAACAUAGAUUCACAAGGGCAUUUGAUACAAAUUUGCAUGCUUAUUAUAUCGUUUCAUGUUUAUUUGUUGUCUUAAAAAUGGGUUAUUCAAAUAAAAAGUUUUGAAAUUAAUUUUUGUUAAUUUUUAAGUGUUACAUGUAUACUAAUGGUUGGAUUAAGCAAUUUGCAUUUUCACAACACCUCUGGAAAAACCUUCAUAUGUACCCUCAAACAUACAGCAAUUAAAAAACUGGAGAAUUGACCCACUCAAUGCCAGAAAAUAAUAUAUUCGCUUGUUUUCUAUGCAUUUCAAUGCUUUUGUUGGUACAAUAUUUCAAAAGACGUUAAAUGCAACAGCAUAUACAUAUAAGUUAUUUCAAAAUUGAUAAACAGGUUCAUUGUUAAGGAGCUUAAAAUUGGUACAUACGAGGGCGAGUCAAUAUGUAACCAGCCUAACUUAUUUCCGGUUGAGAUCCGCCUCUUCUUUUUCGAUGUAAUUGCCCUCUAGUGUGAUGUACUUAGACCAAUGGUGUUCAAAUGCCAUCAGCCCAGAACUGAAAAUGUCAGGGUCUUUUCCAUUGAACCACUCCUCAACUGCCGUCACGACUUCUUCAUCAGACCGGAAAUGACGUCCACUGAUAUCCUUGUUCAAAUUUGGGAAUAGGGUGAAGUCGUUAGGAGCUAGGUCAGGCGAAUAGGCAGGAUCUGGUAUCAAUUCAUACCCGUUUCGCUCUACAGCAUCCAUAAUUGAAACUUUGCAAGUGUGGACUCUGGCGUUGUCCCAUUGCAGCAAAAGACCUUUAGAGAGUUUACCUCGAUGGUUUUCACGGAGGGCGGUUCUCAGCUGCUCUAGCAAGUUUGCAUAGUACACUCCAGUUAUUCUCCUUCUCUUGGGUAAGAGAGCCAACAUAAUAACGCCUUUUGCGUCCCAAAAUGCUGUGGCCAUCACCUUGUCAACAGAUGGUUGCGUCUUGAACUUCUUUGGCCUCGGGGACCCAGCCCCUAGCCACUGACGACUCUGAGCUUUAUUCUCUGGCUCAUAAUAAUGAACCCAUGCAAGUCUCAUCUCUACAGUUACCAGACGCAAAAGAAAAUCAUCUUUUGACCUAAAACGUUUCAACAAGGUGCUGCAUACUGAUGCUCGUCGCUAAGGGAUUUGGGGACCCAAAGGGCUGUUAGCUUGCGCAUUCCUAAACGAUCAUGCAAGAUUGUUGAAACGCUACCAUAUGAAAUGUCUAAUGCCUGCGCUAUUUCUUCCACCUGAAUUCGCCUAUCAGAGUAUACCAGAUUCCGAACUUUCUUACACAUUCUUCGUCGGUGGCAUCCAGUGGGCGUCUAUACCUGGCUUCAUCUUCUAAAGACGUUCUACCGCGUAUGAAUUCCCCUACCCAGAAUUUAACCUGAGCAUAAGAUGGCGAAGAAGACCCAUAAACAUCGGCUUACUUGCCGUGCAUUUCCUUGCCUGUUUUACCUACAAUUACCAAAUUAUAGCACGAUACUCAAUUUUAGAUGAAAAGCAUGCCUUUGCACCACAAGCCUUGUUUGACGUUCAAUAUCUUAUUAAA